ACGCCCUCUGACCUGACUGCACUCAGAAACCAAAAUUCUGCAGGUGAAUGUAGGCUCCCAUUUCGUCCCACAAUCAUUUCAUCAUUCAGGCACAGCUUGACCUCUAAUGUGACAUCACAAACCCUUCCGGUCCACAGUUUUUUUUUCUUCUUCAGAAACUACCUAAACAAGGAAGUUUGUGUUCCAAGGUAAGAUAACCUGAAAUGAAAAACUCAGGAUCCCUCACGAACAGCCUGACCCUGCUUUCAACCAGGAAGUUCAAGGGAGGCAGGACUUUACGGUCAAAACUGCAAAGCCGAAGCUCAAGACUGUAAGAAGAAAGUGAUCUUCAAAGAAAAGGAUUCACCCAAAUCGAAGAGGAUAUCGUUUCGCAUCAGGGACACUCGUCUCCACACCUCCUACCUCAAAGUCCUACGCACCUACCCUUCACGUCUCUCCAAAGCAACUGAAUUAAAGCGCCUACUGGCCUUGGCGGCGCAGAUAAUACACAGGCAUCUCAUGAAAAUCAUCCAACAUAUAGAAGAAUAUAUAGAAUAAAGCAAAAAUCAUCAGAAACUCCACCGUCUUGGAUGACCAUAGUUGAUAUUCUGAAUGGCUUCUGUUCCGAUUGAACCUUGACUGAUGUAGCACCUAUCACCAAAUUGCUGUUCAGGAAAUAUGUCCUAAAGAAACUCCCAACAGCAGCAAUACAUCAGAGUGGCACCUCUUUACACUGGUUCUUGAGAAGAUGUCAGAGUGAGAUUUGCAAUAGACUCCCAGCAGCCCCCAGGAGCACCAAGUGAGAUGCCUGCCAGGCCCACUGUGUCCACUGCCCUCUGGUAGCACCUGAGGAUCAUGGAAAUUAAAUCCUGGUAGAUAAAGGGGAAGACGUAAGGAAGACAAGACAAGGGACUGAGGAAAUGUUGGGGAAGAUGAGAACACCUCAGAAACCACAAUUGAAGAAUUCCUAGGACCCCCAGGAAAGGGGCACAUCCAGAAAGGAGAUAAGAUCAGAAGCCUUUAUUUCCACUAUUCAGCCACUCACUGCCUGAGACUUAACUUCAUUUCAAGUAAGGGGAUAAUAUUUGGCCCCUAAGUAUCUUACAAGGGUUUUGUUUUCCCUAAGAGAAAAAAAAUUAGGUAAGAUCAUAAGUAAGAAAGGAUUUUUUGAAUUAAAAAUAUAUGCAAAUGCAAGUUAUAACAAUUUUUGUUCUGGAUAUUUUUGCAGUAGAUAGAAAAGUUCUUUGUGCUGUGGCCACCUGCCUAAUGCUGUUGACUGGCUGGUAAUAGAUGCCUGGGAGUCAUUUUGAGGUUACUUAGAGCCUCUUUCCACCACCAGAUGGAAGGAAAUUGGGCAACUUCUUGAGUAAUUGGCUCUUCUGACUCACGUUUCUUGCAUUGUGACCUGGGUGCUACCCAGGAUGAGCAAGGAAUUUCCUCUCUGGAGUUGUUUAAGGAAUAGCCCAAACGUUCAGCUUCAUCUUUUUUUAAUGCCGCCUCUAACACUACCUGAGCAGCCACAGAAAAGUAUUUGCUGCUGCAGUAUUUUGGAUCAGCUGAAAUAUAUUUUGAGUAUGUACUCUGGGAAAGGCACAGAAUACCAUUUCUUUACUGAGAUUCUCUUCAAGGAUUUCCAUCCCUCCUUAAAGACCUAGUUGGGAUGGAGCAAUGUAUUUAGAACAUGAUGUGAGUACCAACAAGGAGUCGGGAGACACCUUUUAGCUGUACUUCUUUAUCUUUCUCUCCUUGCUUCCUCUGUCUCUGGUUUCCCCUUUUGCAUCUCUUGUUUUUCCUUUCUUUUCUUGUAUUACUUUCUCUUGAUCAAUAGAGCUGCCAUAGCCUUCCCAGACAUAAAUAAUCAGCUUCCUUGGAAGUACUCAGAAUGUGAACAGCUGUAGCCACUUAGACCUGGUCUUAGAUUCUCACCCCUUGUUGUGUAUUGUAAUUAUCUAGGGAACUUAAAAGGUACUGAGGCAUGGGCCCCAAUGGAAUCAUUAUCCCUGGGGGGUGGGGUGGGCCCUAGACCUGGUAUUUUCAAAAACUUUCAAAAAUUAUUCUAACACAUA
rnacentral:lncRNA from 10 species